GUGGGCUGCGGAGAGCAGCCGCGGGGCGCCGCCGUUCCCAGGACGCCCUGGCACCGGGCCAGCUCCCCGGUCCCGCGGCGCGGCGGCAGCUGGGGCCGGCCGGCGCCCCCAUCCCAACAGCUGGCGCGGCCCGGGGGGCUGCGGGAGAGGCGAGGAGGGGACGUCGCGAGGGGCCUGCGGGCGGCCGGGCUGAGCCCCGCUUCCCCCCUCCCGGGUGCGGGCCGCGGGGGGCGGCCGCGGAAGGGCGGGGCCCCGGGGCGGGCGGCCGGCGGCCCUCGAGGAACCCCGAGAACAAAAGGAGACGGUGACGGCUCCUUCGUGGUCAAAACAACCUGCGCUGGCGGCGGCCCAAGUCCCGGCCGCGGCCUUGAGCCCUCCGCCUUAACCCCUUCGCCGCCGCCGCCUCUGCUGCGCCCCUCUGGAGGCCGAAGGGCUGGCGCUCCCGGGAGCCGGCCAGGUGCAAGCUGAGGACCGCGGCCGGGCGGAGCGGGACGGGACCCAGGCUGGCCGCGCUCCCGACUGCCCUCGCCUCCCUCCACCUCGCGCCGCCCCCUGCCCCGCCCCCUUUCCCACCUGGAUUCCGGGUGGACUUGCCAACUCACUGCUACGUGAGCCGCGGAGGGUGGGGGCACCGAUCGAGACCCGAUCGCUCCCGCAGCCGUUUCAUACCCCACCUCCCUUGCAGCCAGGCUUCUGCAGGCGGCGCGCUCCGCACCCUGCAUGCGGGGGAGAGAGGUGCCCCCUCUCGAAGGGCGCGGGCGCAGGUAUGGCGGGGCCUCAGGCACACACCGCCCGGGGCUGGAUUCUCUAGGAGCCCCCGGUCUUCCUCCUUCCCUAAGCGCCCAAGUGCCCGAGACCUAUCCGUGUCUGUCGGUCCCCCUGUCUCUGGAUCCCCCGUGCCAAGACACAAGCUGCUCCUGAACUGUAUUCGGGUGCCAGGCAUGCCCUGCGCGGCCCGAAGUGCCCACCCCAACCCAGAGCGUUAGCCAGGGUGGGACCCGAACCCCCGCAAAAGGUUGGCGUGGAUGUCACGGGUGUGUAAGCUCGCGCCUCCGGGACAGGCUGGGUCCUGGGCAGAACUGAAGGCCAGGCUGGAGCCUGUGGGCUCGGAAGAACGCCCUGCCUUCUGCACCUUUGGCACCACCCCACCCCCCUCUCCCCCAGCUGGGAAAGGUCGUAAACGCGGGUUCCUGGGGAAGGGGCAGUGCCACACACACCCUUCCCGAGAGGCUAACAGACUCAGGGGCGUAGAUCCCCCCCUUGGAAAGAAAGCCACCGCUGCUCCCUUCCCUUAGAGCCUAGCCCCUCCGGACCUCGCCUCUAGCCCUCGGGGUCACCCGGCGCCAGGCUCUAGAGCUGCAAGGGUCCAAAGUUCACUGCAGGGAGAGGAGGGGGCGGCCAGGUGUGGGGGUGGGGACGAUGAAUGAUGAGAACCAGCCCCAGCCGCCGUCGCAACUCACCUCGGCGCUGACCAGACGCAGGUAGCAGCAGAGAGACAGGAAGAGCGCCCAGCAGCGAUUCAUGCCGACUCCCGGCCCGGCCCCGCGGGGCCCCGGACGCGUAGACGGAGCGCGCCGCCCCCGCGGCCAGGGCGGGGGCUGGGCAGGAGGGUGGGUUCGGCUCGGGUCCGCCGCGAUCAGGAGCUCAGGCCGCUGCAGCCGCCGCCGUGGCUCACCCGCAUGGCCCCCGGGCGCCGCCGCCCCCGGCCCCGGCUCCGUCGCUGGGGGGCUGGGGAGGACCUGGGCACGGGACCAGGGUCCGAGGCCGCUACCUGGGCGGAUCCCGAGCCCGCGCGAGCAUCCACGGCCGGGGGGCUGCGUCGCGAACCAGCCGAGGCGUCUAGCCGUGUGGGGGCGCGCAGGGGACUCCAACCUCCGAGAGGAAAAGGAACGCGGCAGUCGGUGGCUCGUCUUCACCCGCCUGCUAAAGGCGUUCUCCUCUGCCCGCUGGCUUAGUUUUUUUGCAACAUUUUCUGGAAAGGUCCUCCAAAUCAGAAAGCGCCUGGCUGGGCACCUCGAAGCCCGAGUCUCCCAAAAAAACUUUUUCCAAAGUUGGCUCUGCGGCGGCGGCUUGAGCACCCGGGCAGGGAGAGGUGCAAACUCCCGCCCGGGCCGGGUGGGGGUGCGGGAGCGUGUGCGCCCUGGCGCGGGGCCCGGGCGGCGGGCACGGCUGCUCCGCGCGCGCGGCGUUCCAGCUGCGCGCUCUGCCUGGCCGGGCCGACAGGUGGACUCCGCGCGAGUCGGUGGGUCGGUCGGCCCGCCGGCUUGCAGCUCUGGGCGUCCUCUGCGGGCUGCGAGCUGCGGCUGCUCCGGCUUUCUCUUUGCAACGAGGCUGGAGGGUGGGAUUUUUUUUUUUUUUUUUUUUCCUUUUUGCGCGUGUGUGUAUGUGUGUGUGCGCAAAAUAUCUCCCAGGAAUGAAAGAUGGGCGCUGGCGGCCGGAGGGGAACCCUGGGGAGGCAGCGGGGGUGGCCGAGGCGGUGGGGAGGCAGGCGGGCCGCUCUGGCUGCAGGAGGAGAAGCUGCCACCCUUUCAGCUGUUCCGGCCUUUAUAAAGGGAGGGAGAGUGCGGGAGGUGGGUGGAGCAGCCUUUCCUCUUCUGGCCCGGAGUCAGCGCCAGGAGGGGCAGGAGCUUGGGGAGGGCCUGGGCGAAGGCGGGGCUCCCAGGGGUCUCUGAUCACCAGGUAGCCCCUCUGCCCUUGAAUCUGCUCCCCAGGGAAAGAAGGAGCCACGACCCCCUUCCCCCACCCACAGCAUAGCGACCACUGACCAUUUAAGAGCCCACGUGGUCAGGGGGUGUCUCCAGGGUCACACAGGAGUCCAAGACCCCCUCCAGGACCAAACAUUUGCAGCCGGGCGCAGGCAUGGUGGCUAAGGACUCAGGUUCUGCAGCCAGACUGCUUGGACUCAGAUCCUGUCCUGGCACUGAGCAGCUGGGUCACCUUGGGCAAGUCACUUCCCUUCUGUGCUCCCCCAUCUCUGCUUAAAGUGGGGACAGGGUUAUUGUUUGGAUUAAAUGUCAGAAGGACCUGAGAGCACCCAGCUGGGCGCCAGCCACAGGGUGAGCCUGCAGACCCCCCAGCCAUUUGGCUGCGAGCUGGGUCUGCGUAUCCUCGUUCUAGCUGGCUGCCUGGCACACAGCAGGCUCUGCCAGCAUGGGCUGAAUUUGAAUUUGUUCAACUGCAAAGUCACACGAGCCCCACCACCCUGCCGCAUCCUCCUGGGCCACCGUGAUCCUGCCGUCGCCCUGAUGUUUACCACCUCCCUCAGUCCCCGGCUGCAGCCCCAGGGGCCUGCCGCCCACACCAGCAUUCACAGGGUUAACGCCCUCCACCCCCAGCUUGGGAGUGCUGUGUCCCUGCCUUCGCUGUCACACUGUCACAGUGACACAGUCACACGCCACGGGAUCCACAGGCCCACCGCGCCGCCCGUCCUCCUGGCUUUAGGGCACCUGCAUCCCAUCCGCUUGCACAGUGUCUGUCACCUGCCCUUUGUACCCAAACACCGCCCCCCCGCCCCCGGGUCUGCUCCUCACGCCUGCACCGAGUCGCACAGCCCAGCCGCCUCUUGGGCCUGGACAGGGUGGGGCGAGCCCCGGGAGGAUUUCAGGUGGGCCUCUCUGCAGAGGGCACAGGCGCCACCCUCCUUGAUGACAGCCUGGUGGCCGGCCCUCCAGUCUUGGAGUGUCUGCGGAAGCAUCAUGUAACCCCAGGGCCUGGACUGGCUCAGCUGUGACCGGAGGGAGGCAGGGAUGCCUUCGGGACUUGCUGGUGGGCUCGCAGGUAUGUGCAGGACUGUUGCCCACCCCAGGGCACCGUCUGGAGCUCAGGAGCUGCUCCUGCUCACAGGACCCUGCCCUGGGGAGCCCCAUCCGGAAGGGCAGAUAAAGGAAGGCGAGGUCACAAGCAAGGUGGGGGCAGGGUGAUCCCUACACACUGGAUUCCAUUUCUAAAAAUUUAGAGAUUAAAAGACCCUGUUCCACUAGACAGCAGGGCGAUCUUGACCUUGACCUCUGUCCUUACCCAGAAGUAUGAAAAUAGCUACCUUACUACUGAGCUGACCCUGUGGUGGGGAGUGCUCCUUCUGUCCGUAUAGCUCCUCAGUGCUUCUGUGUAACAUCACUUCUCUUUAACAGCUGGGGAAACUGAAGCACAGAGGGGCUAAGCAACUUGUCCAAGGUCACACAGCCACAGGCAGCUCUGGAAAGCACACCUCUGCCUCUGCCCCCGGCGCCUCCUCCAGGGAGCUACCAGGCCUGCUGCUUGCUCUGGGCUCCUUCAGCAUGACCUGUCAUUGCCCGUGUAUCAUCCUAGCAUAGACAGCGCAGGGUGAGUGAAGGCCACGGCGCCCUGCGUCCAGUAGUUGCUCAACUAAAUGUCUGCUGAAGGAACUGAUAGAUGAAUCGACAUCUCACCUGUUUCUUUCUCUGAAUCCUGGCCAGUUUGUAAUGUGAGACUUUAACCUCAAAGUGCCUUUCACAGGAACACAGUGGAGGAUCUGGAGGUACCAGACCUGGGAAGGCCCCACCCUACUCUUCCACUUUAGGGCCACCGAGCGACGGUGCUAUCCAGGAAGGCCAGGAGUAGACCCCAAACUCCACCCAGGCCACUAGCAGAUGUGGGCCCGGCAGGAAAACCAGCUGUCCCUGCCGGUGCAGGGCGGGACCCACUCAGGGCAGGCUGUCUGGACGGGCAUUUGGUGCCAUCCAAGCCCCCCUCUGUUAAAGCCACCCUAACCCCCAGAGUCCAGAAGGGUGGGGACAGCAUGUGUGUCCCAGGUCCCUGGGUCUCUCAGAGGAUGCUUGCAUCAGCUGUGCCAGGAGAGCUUGCCUGUCCCCACCCGGAGGAGGAGGAAGUAGGCUGAGGGGACAGUCCAAGCCACACACAGUCUGGCACUCCAGCCUGGGCUGCAUGUGGCAAGGCCAUGCCCCGCCCCACCGUGUGGCCACCAGCAGCUCCAGGGCCCCCGCUCCCCGUCUGCAGGGCCUCAGGCCAUGUGUAAAGCACUUCAUGCCCCUGGCCUGGCCUCACCUCACAGUCCCGGGUCGGGGGAGGAAUGCCCGCACGUGUGUCCACUUCACAGAUGAGAAAAGUGGGCUGGGCCUCAGGGCAAGAGGAGAGGCUUCCAAUCCAAGACCACCAGGUUCAAAUCCCUCCUCUGCCAUUCAGCUGUGUGACCUUGGGCAAAUGACUUCACCUUUCGAACCUCACUGUAAAAUGCAGGCCGCAGCAGCCCCUGCCUCACUAGGUUGAAGGCGCACAGCACCGCGCAGCUGUGGGCGGGACGGGGUCGUUCCUUGGCACACACCCGGCUCGCGCUCCAGAGCCAGGGUUGGGGAAGGGCCCUGGGGCUGGAAGGACCACAGGCCCGACCCAGGGCGGGGGGGGCGUCCCCACAGUCCCGUCCUUUCUGUCUGUGGCCCACCACCCUGGAUAGGCUCUGGCCACUGUCUGGGGACCCCCGGAAGGCAGGCAGACAGACCCCAGGCCCGGGCCAGCCUGGGAGCCCACCUAUGGCCUCGGGCCGGCCGUGCACAAAGGCGCGGGAAGCGCUGUUUGUUUUCCUGGGGCUCAGCCCAGGCAUUUUUAGCUCCUCCAGGCUCCAGACGAGGAAGAGGAUGUGGAUGUUUGGACGUGGCCGGGGCAGCUCCAUCUACCUGCCUUGGACGCCCGGCUGCAGUCGGAGCGAAGCCUUCCCGGGAUGCGGGGAGCCAGGCCCGAUGGUCGGUGGACCCACCUUGACGCAGGAAGGUCAGCUCCCCGGAGAAGGCCUGGGCCUCUGCAGAGGCAGGUGGACCAGACAGACCCCAAGCCCGGGCCAGCCCAGAGGAGCUGCGGGGCCUCCAGCACUGAGCCUCGGGAGGGCGGCAGUAUUGCAGAGGCAGCCUCCUCCCUGAGCCUGCAGCUGUGAGGAGGGCCCAGCGAGGAAGGGGGACCUGAGACCUCUCCUCACCCCUGGGGGCUGGCGCUCUGGAGAUGCUCACACCUGGGGAGGAGGAGACUGAGGCUCACAGAGGCACACUAGUCUGCCUAGCAUUCCCCAAAAAGGCAGUGACAGCGCCAGCCUGUGACCCAAAGCUGUGAUGCCAAAGCCAUUUCCACAUUACAUGACGCUUCCCCAUGGUGGGCAGAGUGGCGCACACCUAUAAUCCCGGUGACUUAGGAGGCUGAGGCAGGAGGAUCACAAGAUUAAGGCCAACCUCAACAACUUGGCAAGACCCUACCUUAAGAUAAAAAAAUGAAAAGGACCAGGGAUGUACUGAGUAGUAAAGCCCCUAGGUUCAGACGGUACCAGAAGAAUCGACCCGGUGCUUCCCCACGUGGCCUGAUCAGAGACAGCCCACCUUGGCGUGGCCCGAAGCACCCAGGAAAGUUGAGGCAGCCCGCGAGGCGGGAGGGGAAGGAGGCUGUGUCCGUCCGAGAGGCGCUUAACCUGCCCCUGCAGGUCCGGGCGUCCUCUGCCCGCCUGAGGAUCUGCCUGGCAUUCUGGAAGGGAUGGGGCUGGAGGGGAGGUGCCAGCUUGCGGGAGAGAAGCCUUUGCACUCAGGGAUUGCGGUCUGUCCAAAGAGCGGGCAGCUGGUGUGACAAUCGCAGUUUGCAUCGGUGUUCCCAAGAGCGGCCCCACCACCCGUCAGGAGCUGCGACCAGCCGCGGCCGGAGCAGGCCGUCGCCACCCCGUGCAGGCGGGGAGACCAAGGCCUUGCAGCUUUGCCAGCAUCCAGGAUGAGGGGGAGAGAGCUGGGAUUUGAACCCAGGCAGCCUGGCACCUGCACCACCAGGUGGACCUCUCCACCAUCCCCCAGGUGGGCCCAGUGGAAACCUGCCUGCCUGUCCACCCUUUGUGGGCGACCUCUGCACCUUCCUCUCAUUUCUGCUGGGAACCUAAAAGUAAAAUCCAAUUUUUAAGUCAAACGUGGUGAAGUUUAUGGUUCACUCCUACAUCGACUGCCCGAACCUCCCAAUAACCUAGGGAAAGUUUAUCAUCCCCAUUUUACAGACAGGAAAACUGAGUCUAAGGCCUGGGUGUUCUCGUCUGUAGAAGGGGGGUCUGGUUCUGGGCAGUAUGUGCAGAUGGGCACCGUGCCCUGAGGGUGUCCUCACGGAAGGAAGGUGUUCCCGCCAGCUCACGGCAGGGGAGCCCCUGCCCUCU